rnacentral:rRNA from 1 species
AGUGGCAUGCUUAAUUACAUGCAAGUCGUUGGGCAGCAGGACGGGUAGCAAUACCGUUGCUGGCGACCGGCAAACGGGUGCGUAACACGUACGCAACCUUCCUUCAGGCGGGGAAUAGCCCGGGGAAACCCGGAUUAAUACCCCAUAAUAUUUUGAGAUGGCAUCAUCUUAUUAUUAAAGCUUCGGCACCUGAUGAUGGGCGUGCGGCUGAUUAGGUAGUUGGCGGGGUAACGGCCCACCAAGCCAGCGAUCAGUAGCUGAUGUGAGAGCAUGAUCAGCCACACGGGCACUGAGACACGGGCCCGACUCCUACGGGAGGCAGCAGUAAGGAAUAUUGGUCAAUGGACGAAAGUCUGAACCAGCCAUGCCGCGUGGAGGAUGAAGGUCCUCUGGAUUGUAAACUUCUUUUAUUUGGGACGAAAAAGGGAAAUUCUUUUCCACUUGACGGUACCAGAUGAAUAAGCACCGGCUAACUCCGUGCCAGCAGCCGCGGUAAUAC